UAGGGAAUCUUCCACAAUGGACGCAAGUCUGAUGGAGCAACGCCGCGUGAGUGAAGAAGGUUUUCGGACCGUAAAGCUCUGUUGUUGGUGAAGAAGGAUAGAGGUAGUAACUGGCCUUUAUUUGACGGUAAUCAACCAGAAAGUCACGGCUAACUACGUGCCAGCAGCCGCGGUAAUCGUAGGUGGCAAGCGUUGUCCGGAUUUAUUGGGCGUAAAGCGAGCGCAGGCGGAAGAAUAAGUCUGAUGUGAAAGCCCUCGGCUUAACCGAGGAAUUGCAUCGGAAACUGUUUUCUUGAGUGCAGAAGAGGAGAGUAGAA
rnacentral:rRNA from 1 species